rnacentral:rRNA from 1 species
UUGAAAGGGAAACGAUUGAAGUCAGUCGUACCAGCGGGAAAUCAACCUUUCGAGUGGGGGUUUUGGAGUUUUGAAGAGUGUCAAAACCUUUGAGAUUUCAAAAUUUUCGCUCCUUUGGUGUACUUUCUCGUGGGUAGGUUAACAUCGAUUUCGAUCAUCAUAAAAGGAUUGGAGGAAUGUAGCUUCGAUCUUGUAUUGAAGUGUUAUAGCCUUUGGUAAAUGUGAUGAUUGGGAUCGAGGAUUGCAACGAAUACCCUUUUGGGCUAUCCGCCUGAUCUCUGAUACGUGGCCUUGGCAUCGGAAGCUUGCUUAUGGUAUCAAGGUAUUACGGUCAAAAGGUUAGAACGGAUUACAUUCGUUAAGGAUGUUGACGUA